rnacentral:lncRNA from 1 species
AGGUGAAUACGUAAGUGGAGGCAGUGUCUGAUGCCCACUUCCCUGUGUGGGGCCAGCUCCUGCAGACAGAAGCCGCUGCCUUACGAAGUAGAGCUACCUUCUGUGCCUGCCCAGGCCACUCUUGCUUAAAGCUCCAGCCUUGAAUGCAGUCUGGAGGGCGAGCCCUGGAGUGUGUAGGAUCCCCUCUGUGACUUAGUUCAGCGUUCUGAAGACAAUUUAGGAUCCUUGGCUGCUUGCCUGUGGUGGCUGAAGGGCUAGAAUUGCCUGUGUGGAGCUGUGCUAUUGUUGGUAGGGGUAUCACUCUUCCUUGGGGGCACUGGGAAAAGGAGUCUUCCCUCUUUAAAUUCCUGGUACCCUCUCACUUAUACCUGAAGUAUUCAAUCAGUCUCUUGGUGCCUCACCUUUCCCAUCUUCUAGAUGGGGCCAUCAACUCUUCUGGUACCUCAAGGUCUCUUGGAUCCAAAGCAUCACUUCAGUGUUAUUUGUUGGUCUCCUUUGUGCCUUUCUUGACCUGGAGUUGGGAGGCAGGAGGACAGCUGUUAGCCUAGUUUGUUUCUGGUGACAUGGAUUGCUGGCAUUAGACAGGGCAGUGCAUCACAGACAAAUGGUCAUUUAGCAUCCAAGGUGUGUGUGGGGCGGGGAGGGGUACUUGGUACUUGCAAUACCAAGCCGCUCCCUGGUCAGAAGGUUCAGUUAUCACUCAGCAAUUUUAACCGGUAGAGCGCUCUUUCCCCCACUCAGAUCCACCCGUCAGCUUUGUCUUCACCAGGGAAGGUGGAAAGUCAACCGUCUCCUUUUACAUUACAUCAAGGUCAGG